rnacentral:ncRNA from 1 species
UGAGUCAUAUUUACAUCAAACAAUAUUGGGUCCAUUACCCAAACCUUUGUGCUACGGGGCUUUCUUCAAGGGUUGACAUCAAUGACAACCAACCUUAAUCAACAGCAUCACCCGUGUUUUGGCCUCAGGGCAUGCGGGCAUGCUUCAACGAGAUGAUCUAAGGGGAAGACAUUGCCAGGGGGAGUUUGGUUGGGGCAACACAUUUGUUGAAAGAUAGCGUACGUAUCUUAAUAUGAACUCAAUGAGAACAAAACAAUAGGGUAAAAGCUCAUUUGAUUUUGAUUUUCGAUAUGAAUACAAACCGUGAAUCAUGGCUUGUCGAUCCUUUAGACUUUCAAAAUUUGAGGCUAAAGGUGUCAAAAGAGUUAUCAAGGGGAUAAUUGGCUUGUGGUAUCCAAGCAUCAUAGUGAGAUUGUUUUUUGAUCCUUCUAUGUUGGCUCUUCCUAUCAUUAUGAUGCAAAAUUUGUGGAUUGUUGGGUUGUUCACCCACCAAUAGGAACAUGCAUUGGGUUUAGACCAUCAUGAGACAAGUUGGUUUUACCCUACCGAUUCACUAUGCCACAAUAGCAAUUCAACUUAGUAUGAGAGGAAUUGUUGAUUCACACAAUUAGUCAUCGUGCUUGGUUGAAAAGCCAGUGGUGUAAAGCUAUUAUGUUGGAUUAUCUUUGAAUGCCUCUAAGUCAAAAUCCAUGCUAAAACCAAAGCUUAUCACUCUUCCAUUAUAUCGUGACCCACAAGAGGGGCGCUCUGAUGCCCCCACGAGCUAGUGUCAUUAGCAAUGCGUACAAGGAAUGCAUCAGCUAGGGAAGUGUUCAAUUCCAAAUGGUUGACAAGAAGAAUCCUUUGUAUAGGACUUAAAUAUGUGACAAGCUAUUGUAAGUAACAAAGUGGCCUUGACACCACAAUCAACUAAAAUUCAACCAUCAAUCACCUCGAUUCAA